rnacentral:tRNA from 1 species
GGGUUUGUAGCUCAGCUGGUUAGAGUACCACGUUGACAUCGUGGGGGUCGGAGGUUCGAGUCCUCUCAAACCCA